UACAGAGGUGGCAAGCGUUGUUCGGAAUUACUGGGCGUAAAGGGCGCGUAGGCGGUCUUAUAAGUCUCGUGUGAAAUCCCUCGGCUUAACUGAGGAACUGCACGGGAUACUGCAAGACUUGAGUUCGGGAGAGGGAAGCGGAAUUCCGGGUGUAGCGGUGAAAUGCGUAGAUAUCCGGAGGAACACCGGUGGCGAAGGCGGCUUCCUGGACCGACACUGACGCUGAGGCGCGGAAGCUAGGGGAGCAAACGGG
rnacentral:rRNA from 1 species